GGGGUAGUACUGGUUUCGACGGGGGUUUAGAAAUUAUGGCAGCCAUCCGAGGUGAGUGACCUCGUAAAAACAUUCAUAAAAAUAAACGCUGAUAAGAAUAAGUUAGCAUUCGCUGCCUAAGGGCGGCUGUCAGUCUCGCGUCAUCCGCUGCGUGAGGUACUGGCAUCAAAGAGGCGGAGCACUUCCUUGCCAAAGCUUGUAGGCAUGGGAAGAAUUACAAGCUACUGAAAUCAUAAGCCUGUAAAUGGGCGUGUGACGUAGGGAAUGUCAAAACAUUUACUGUGAUGGGAGAUACUGUAAUGGAAGAGCUUUCGGACGUGGGUUCAAUUCCCACCUACUCCA
rnacentral:tmRNA from 1 species